rnacentral:rRNA from 1 species
CGGGGCCCGCACAAGCGGUGGAGCACGUGGUUUAAUUCGAUGCAAACCGAAGAACCUUACCUGGGUUUGACAUGUGCGUGUUACUGAGGUGAAAGCCGAGGGACCCAUAUCUUCGGAUGUGGAGCGUACACAGGUGCUGCAUGGCUGUCGUCAGCUCGUGUCGUGAGAUGUUGGGUUAAGUCCCGCAACGAGCGCAACCCUCGCUGUGUGUUACAAGUGUCACACGGAACUGCCGGUCAUAAACCGGAGGAAGGUGGGAUGACGUCAAGUCAGCAUGGCCUUUAUAUCCUGGGCUACACACACGCUACAAUGGGAAGGGACAAUAGGUUGCGAAGCCGCGAGGUGGAGCCAAUCCAGCAAAACUUCCCUCAGUUCAGAUUGCAGGCUGCAACUCGCCUGCAUGAAGUUGGAGUUGCUAGUAAACGCAGGUCAGCCAUACUGCGUUGAAUACGUUCCCGGGCCUU